rnacentral:sRNA from 1 species
UGGACCCUGAAGAGCUCUUCACCAAGCUUGACCGCAUUGGCAAGGGCUCCUUUGGGGAAGUCUACAAGGGCAUUGAUAACCACACGAAGGAGGUGGUGGCCAUCAAGAUCAUCGACCUGGAGGAGGCCGAGGAUGAGAUCGAGGACAUCCAGCAGGAGAUCACCGUCCUCAGCCAGUGCGACAGCCCCUACAUCACCCGCUACUUUGGCUCCUACCUAAAGAGCACCAAGCUGUGGAUCAUCAUGGAGUACCUGGGUGGCGGCUCAGCACUGGACUUGCUUAAACCAGGUCCCCUGGAGGAGACGUACAUUGCCACGAUCCUGCGGGAGAUUCUGAAGGGCCUGGAUUAUCUGCACUCCGAGCGCAAGAUCCACCGAGACAUCAAAGGUCCUGCUGGGGGUGGAUGUGGCUCUUGUAAUGUCCUGAGCCCCACUGACCUUAGAGAGGCCGGGGCCUGUGAGGGGCAAGUGGCUAGUGGUGCCCAGGGUCUGGAGUAUAGAGAACCCUGUGGCCACCCUGAAACUGAGCAGUCCUGUCUCGCUCCAUUUCCAGAAGAUACUGCUUGUAACGGUUUCCUUGUACGCUGAGGAAACCAGCUGUGGACUGAGUGUGGGAAAGGGCCAUACUUAGCCGGAGUUGUUGGUUCCUUGUGGCGCACAGCACAACAGCAGGUGUAGAAUUGAGUAGCCCCAGCGUGUGGUCUGGCCCUGCUGAGAGCAGACAGGAGGCUGGGCCAGCCCAUGGGGAGUUACUUGCCACUGGCACCGGGCCACCUCUGUCACGUAGGGACGAUUCUGGUGGAGCAGGGGCUUCCUGGCAGGCCCGUGUUGGCCACACCCUUGGUCAGGGUCACCUCUGCGGUAGCCCCCCGUGGGUGAAGUCGCUUGUCGUUGGGAUUUGUUGUAAAAGCCAAAUGCAGGAAGAGCCCUGGAGCUCAGAGUGGAGCCCUUGGACUCCUGCUGGCAGUGCCCCUGUGGCCCUAGGUGGCCCUGGGUUUGAGAGUGGCAAGGAGGGCUGAAGUCCUGAGGACAGCUCUGCUGUGCCCUAGGAGGCCAGGUGGAUGGUACCCUGGCCCUUCUCAGGGGGCCCUGGGUGGAGCCACGUGGAGCCUGGGAUGACGCCUGCCUGUCCUGUGUCAAGCAGCUGCCAAC